UACUUGGGAGAAAGUGAAGGAAGAAAUGCAGGAUGCUAUUUCACCGGAGGUCUGAAGCCCCUUCAAGGGUGCUUGAGGAUACAGUAUGAAAUUAACUGCCUGAGUCAAAAAAAUGGAACCUGUUUGACAGUGUCUGCUACCAAGUUUCUGCAUUUCAGAGAGAUGAGAAACACCACCUGGGUGCUACUGAAGUGAGUGUGAAGAUCCUGGUGAUGUUACUGGAAUCCUGCUGCAAAGAACUCCACAGCCAUUCCAAAUAAAGAACCUUCUCUAGAGUGUUUAUUGCAGUUUUUUGGAAUUAAACAUUCAUUUUAACUUGU